GGGCAGGCCCGGCGCGGCGAAGCCUUUCGAAUCCCGCCAGGAUCGAAAGAUAGCAACGGUAAGGAAGAGUCUUCGGGUGCCGCCGGUAGCCUGCCCGGA
rnacentral:SRP_RNA from 1 species